rnacentral:rRNA from 1 species
AUUGAACGCUGGCGGCAUGCCUUACACAUGCAAGUCGAACGGCAGCACGGGAGCAAUCCUGGUGGCGAGUAGCGAACGGGUGAGUAAUAUAUCGGAACGUGCCCAGUAGUGGGGGAUAACUGCUCGAAAGAGCAGCUAAUACCGCAUACGACCUGAGGGUGAAAGGGGGGGAUCGCAAGACCUCUCGCUAUUGGAGCGGCCGAUAUCAGAUUAGCUAGUUGGUGGGGUAAAGGCCUACCAAGGCAACGAUCUGUAGUUGGUCUGAGAGGACGACCGGCCACACUGGGACUGAGACACGGCCCAGACUCCUACGGGAGGCAGCAGUGGGGAAUUUUGGACAAUGGGCGCAAGCCUGAUCCAGCAAUGCCGCGUGCAGGAAGAAGGCCUUCGGGUUGUAAACUGCUUUUGUCAGGGAAGAAAUCCUCUAGGUUAAUACCCUUGGGGGGAUGACGGUACCUGAAGAAUAAGCACCGGCUAACUACGUGCCAGCCGCCGCAGUAAAAC